rnacentral:rRNA from 1 species
UAGGGAAUCUUCGGCAAUGGACGAAAGUCUGACCGAGCAACGCCGCGUGAGUGAAGAAGGUUUUCGGAUCGUAAAACUCUGUUGUUAGAGAAGAACAAGGACGUUAGUAACUGAACGUCCCCUGACGGUAUCUAACCAGAAAGCCACGGCUAACUACGUGCCAGCAGCCGCGGUAAUACGGAGGGUGCAAGCGUUAAUCGGAAUUACUGGGCGUAAAGCGCACGCAGGCGGUUUGUUAAGUCAGAUGUGAAAUCCCCGGGCUCAACCUGGGAACUGCAUCUGAUACUGGCAAGCUUGAGUCUCGUAGAGGGGGGUAGAAUUCCAGGUGUAGCGGUGAAAUGCGUAGAGAUCUGGGGGAAUACCGGUGGCGAAGGCGGCCCCCUGGACGAAGACUGACGCUCAGGUGCGAAAGCGUGGGGAGCAAACAGG